rnacentral:lncRNA from 1 species
CUCAGGAGAGUAUGAAUUCUCCUGGGUUUUUGGCAGAUGGUUGCAGUGGCAGGACCAAGGCCUAGUGAGCUAUAGCUAAAUCUACAGUGGGAUGUGGCAGUAUUUUGUUUUGGAGCUGGGACCAUGAUUGGCAAGCACGCCACUUGGCCAAGGGCUUACUCUCUCAAAUUGUUCCCCUUGGUCUUUGCCUCCAGCUGUCACAAACUGACCUGGAUCCCAAGGCUCUUAUAAAUGCAGUUUUGUUUGGCAUGGCUUCCACAUUCUGUUGUGGGAUAUGCCUGCAGGACCUCCUGUUCCAUCAUCUUGCUUAUGUUACUCUCCUAUACACUUCACUUUCUGAAAUGAAUGUUGUUUCUGACUUUUAGAUUCAAAAGUUACACAUUAUGUAAGAUGUAAAUUAAAUUACCAGUAGGUGCCCACAUAUUUAUUAAAAUAUUUCAUUAUAAUUUUAAGCUCACUGAAAGCAAAAAGAAAUCAUUAAAAUUUAUAUUCAUUUUCAAUCUGUUUCUAAAUGCCAGUAUAUUUUAAUUCCAAAUAUUUACUUUAUACUUCAGUAAUGCUGAUUGUGUUUUGCAAAAUUUAUGUUGUUCUUGUAUUUUAAAAAUAUAAAGUUUUUAUUAGCUCCCAAAGGCCAUAUUAUAGACAGUAUAUCUGUGUAAGAAUACCACCAAUAUAUUGAGAACAUGAUAAAAACUUCUCCUACUGUCUCUUUAAUGCUUAUUUGAAAAUUUUCUCAUUAGUCUAUUAUUAAUGAUUGUAAUGUAUUUUCUAUGAAGUUUUACUGUUCUUCAUUGAAUAGCAAUGAUUCACAAUGUCUUCUCUUCAUGAGUACACACAGUUAAAAACUGCAGAUAUCUAAAGAAUUAUUUUUCAUAGUAUAUCUAUGUUGUAUUCAGCAUUUUAUGCAUUAAAAUCUCUCUUAUUUUCAAUUCUAUAUUUAUUGUGUUUUUGGGGGGGUAUGAUUUCUCAGAUCAGUUCAUUGUAUUUUUGCAUUUAACGCUUGAUAUUAUGAAUUGAAUAAUUUUUUAGCUCUGUACACUUUAAGACAAUAAGAUGUUUAAUUUAUAUGUAAAUUAGCCACAUGUCUGUUGCCUAUAGACAUAUCUACGUGUUUUCACCUAUGUAAAUACUGCCCCUACUUUGGUUAUGACAUCUUUUUUUCCUUGUUUUUUUUUUUUUUCCAGUUUCAGAUAGGUUUUUUUUUUUUUAGAAAGAAAACUUUAAAACAGAAUCAAAAGAACAGAAAUCAGUUAUCUGUCCUCUUCCUUCCUCACAGGUUUGAGACUAUGGUUAGGUGGUGAGGAAGGCAGGCUCAGCACCCAAGCCUUGGGGAGACGCAGAAAGGGCCCAUCCCAGGCACUCAGGUGGAGGUAAGCAUAGCCUUUGGGCCAUAAGACCUCAUGGCCACUGGGGUGCUGGUCUGGAAACAAGUCCUCAUCUUCCCAGAAAUGUCAUCUUUUGUCUGCAGCAGCUGGCUGGAGAAAGAUUUCAGAAAGGUGUGUGCCUGGGGCACCCAAAGGCAUGACCUUCCUUUCUCCUUGGCAUAGGCCUUACAACACUGAGGAAAGGCCAUGGUUUGGCAUUGGAGCCUUCAAUAGUUUUCACCCCUAUGGAUCGAAAAGAUUGUCCAAAUAGAAGCUUAUAUAGGAUGUUAAAAAGUAAACUGACAGGACUAUGAAAAUUGUCUCCCAACAGAGUACAGCUUUUUUUUUUUUUUUUUUUUUUUUUUUUUUCUGAGAAAAAACUCCAGGAUGGAGUACAGUGGUGUGAUCUUGGCUCACUGUAACCUCCACCUCCGGGGUUCAAGUGAUUCUUCUAUCUCAGCCACUCGAGUAGUUGGGACUACAAGUGCGUGCCACCAUGCUUGGCUAAUUUUUUGUAUUUUUAGUAGAGACAGCGUUUCACCAUGUUGUCCAGGAUGGUCUCAAUCUCCUGACCUUGUGAUCCGCCCGCGCCUGCCUCCCAAAGUGCUGGGAUUACAGGCGUGAGCCACUGUGCCCGGCCCAUUUUGUUAAAAAUACAGAAAUAUUGGUAAAACCAUUAUCAAAAGCAUUGUGGAGCUUUCUAAAAACUUACAAUACCACAUUAUCCAGCAAAUCCACUUCCAGAUAUAUAACCAAAGGAAAUAAAACUAGUAUCUAGAAGAGACAUCUGUG